rnacentral:rRNA from 1 species
UGCCAGCCGCCGCGGUAAUACGGAGGGUGCAAGCGUUACUCGGAAUUACUGGGCGUAAAGGGGGCGCAGGCGGUUUUGUAUGUUGAUUGUGAAAGCCCAUGACUUAAUCAUGGAACUGCGAUCAAAACUGCAAGACUAGAGUACGGGAGAGGAAAGUGGAAUUCUCAGUGUAGAGGUGAAAUUCGUAGAUAUUGAGAGGAACACCGGCGGCGAAGGCGGCUUUCUGGAACGAUACUGACGCUGAGGCCCGAAAGCGCGGGUAGCAAACAGGAUUAGGUC